GGGGGCGUGGCGAAAUUGGUAGACGCACUGGAUUUAGGUUCCAGCGCCGCAAGGUGUAAGAGUUCGAGUCUCUUCGC
rnacentral:tRNA from 1 species